UUUUUUAUGGCCGAGUAGGCAUUAGAUUUUUAAUCUAAUUACGGGUUCUCCCUUUGCGUU
rnacentral:tRNA from 1 species